rnacentral:rRNA from 1 species
AUUGAACGCUGGCGGCAGGCUUAACACAUGCAAGUCGAGCGGAGUGAUGGUGCUUGCACUAUCACUUAGCGGCGGACGGGUGAGUAAUGCUUAGGAAUCUGCCAUUUAGUGGGGGACAACAUUCCGAAAGGAAUGCUAAUACCGCAUACGUCCUACGGGAGAAAGCAGGGGAUCUUCGGACCUUGCGCUAAAUGAUGAGCCUAAGUCGGAUUAGCUAGUUGGUGGGGUAAAGGCCUACCAAGGCGACGAUCUGUAGCGGGUCUGAGAGGAUGAUCCGCCACACUGGGACGGAGACACGGCCCAGACUCCUACGGGAGGCAGGAGUGGGGAAUAUUGGACAAUGGGCGGAAGCCUGAUCCAGCCAUGCCGCGUGUGUGAAGAAGGCCUUUUGGAUGUAAAGCACUUUAAGCGAGGAGGAGGCUCUUCUAGUUAAUACCUAGGAUGAGUGGACGUUACUCGCAGAAUAAGCACCGGCUAACUCUGUGCCAGCCGCCGCAGUAAAAC